AUUGAACGCUGGCGGCAUGCUUUACACAUGCAAGUCGAACGGUAACAGGGUGCUUGCACCGCUGACGAGUGGCGAACGGGUGAGUAAUAUAUCGGAACGUACCUAGUAAUGGGGGAUAACUAUCCGAAAGGAUAGCUAAUACCGCAUACGCCCUGAGGGGGAAAGAGGGGGAUCGCAAGACCUCUCGUUAUUAGAGCGGCCGAUAUCAGAUUAGCUAGUUGGUGAGGUAAAGGCUCACCAAGGCGACGAUCUGUAGCGGGUCUUAGAGGACGAUCCGCCACACUGGAACUGAGACACGGUCCAGACUCCUACGGGAGGCAGCAGUGGGGAAUCUUGGACAAUGGGCGCAAGCCUGAUCCAGCAAUGCCGCGUGCGUGAAGAAGGCCUUCGGGUUGUAAAGCGCUUUUGUUCGGGAGGAAAUCCUAGGGGCUAAUACCUCUUGGGGAUGACAGUACCGGAAGAAUAAGGACCGGCUAACUACGUG
rnacentral:rRNA from 1 species